GUCAAUUCUUCAACAAAAUCCCCAGCAACAAUGGUGAGAAAGAGACACAAACAGUUAUUCCCAACAAAGAACAAGAACCUAAUUUCAUGCCUGAGAAUGAAAAUGGAGCCUAUGGCCUAUAUGGUCAUGACUCUGUCACCACUCCUAACACCAACAACCCCACUGUCCACGAUCUUCCUAACAGCAAAUACCUUCCCAAGAAUUACAACCCUGUUUCUUAUGUGACUGUCCCUGAGGACAACACUAAUGAAAAUGAUUUGAACAACAAUGAGUUUACAACCAAGCACACUACCACCACCACUGCCUCUAAUAACAACCAAUUCUACAGUGGUCCCACCACUUACGGCAACAACAACAACCAACAGUACUAUAAUGGCGUCAGCGAUUAUAGUACUAAGCGCAACAACCAGCAGCAGCAGCAACAGUUCUACAGCGGCGACAACUUUUACAGUAACAACCAGCAGCAGCAGCAGUACUACAACGGUGGCAACUCUUACAACAAUAACAACGACAACAACAACAAUGAAGAGGAGGAGGAGUACUACAACAACAAUGGUGGUAACACUUACUACAACAACAACGAGCAACAGGAGUUGAGCGAAACAAGAUUAAGUGCCAGAACUUACAGCACCAACCCAACAAAUUACGGAAACAAUUACAACAACAACAAUCAAGAACAGAGCUACUCCACCAACUACAAUAACUACAACACUGGCAAAAGUAAUUACAGGGUGCACCAGCAGCAGGGGAUGAGUGACACAAGAUUCUUGGGAAAUGGGAAAUUCUACUACGAUAUCAACGCUGAGAAACAUGCUAGGGAUCCAUAUGAAAAUGCAAGAGAAUUUGCUGCAAUGAACCAACAGUACAACAGCAGGAACACCUAUGGAAACAAUGAAUACAACAGCAACAACAACAGUUUUGAGAAUGAAGAGGAAUUCCAAGUUGAAGACAACAUGCCUUGAGCUUUUGUUCAACACUUUGAUGAAAACAAAAAAAAAGUAAACAUAGUGAGCCAAAAGGAAUGUUAUGUGUCCCACAAUUAUCAUUGAUGUUGUUUUCCUUUUUUAUCUAAGUUAUAUUUUAUUAGC
rnacentral:lncRNA from 1 species